rnacentral:rRNA from 1 species
UACGUAGGGCGCAAGCGUUUGUCCGGAAUUAUUGGGCGUAAAGAGCUCGUAGGUGGCGUGUCGCGUCUGCCGUGAAAGCCCAUGGCUUAACUGUGGGUCUGCGGUGGAUACGGGCAGGCUGGAGGCUGGUAGGGGCAAGCGGAAUUCCUGGUGUAGCGGUGAAAUGCGCAGAUAUCAGGAGGAACACCGGUGGCGAAGGCGGCUUGCUGGGCCAGUUCUGACGCUGAGGAGCGAAAGCGUGGGGAGCGAACAAG